CCUACGGGAGGCAGCAGUGAGGAAUAUUGGUCAAUGGACGCAAGUCUGAACCAGCCAUGCCGCGUGUGUGAAGACGGCCCUCUGGGUUGUAAACAGCUUUUGUACGGGGGUAGGCGAUGAUACGCGUAUCUUUCUGCAUGUACCUUACGAGUAAGGAUCGGCUAACUCCGUGCCAGCAGCCGCGGUAAUACGGAGGAUUCAAGCGUUGACCGGAUUUAUUUGGGUUAAAGGGUGCGUCGGCGGUCUGUUAAGUUAGAUGUGAAAUCCCGGGGCUCAACCUCGGAAUUGCCUUUGAUACUGGUCGGCUAGAGUGUAGUAGCGGUAGGCAGAAUGAAAGGUGUAGCGGUGAAAUGCGUAGAGAU
rnacentral:rRNA from 1 species